ACUAUGGAGAGUUUGAUCCUGGCUCAGGAUGAACGCUGGCGGUAUGCCUAACACAUGCAAGUCGAACGGGCUCUUCGGAGCUAG
rnacentral:rRNA from 1 species